rnacentral:lncRNA from 1 species
AUGGUAUUCAUUAUUCGAAGCAAACACCAUGCUCAUUUAAUUUUUGCAUCCAUAGAUGAAAUGGAAGUGGAACAAUUACAUACAUUUCCUCAGUGUUGGAGCCUGAGUUCUGAGAACAACAUUUUUCAUUUUCAAAGGAAGCUGACUUCGAGAAAGAACAGAAGACCAACAGCAAUGCUGGCCUUCUCUGUUUUGCAAAGCGUCACUUAUAAGGAAAGAGCUUGUGGAAUUUGGCUGCAUUUCCCACAGCUGCAAGAUAAGUUCUGA